UUGAAAAAUUAAUUCAAAAAGCCAUAGGGCCGAUCAACUGAAUGAGAGCUUUAUGAGUUGCAAUCUUGUUGAUAUUGGUGCAUAAAAAUGAUUUAGGCAAUAGGACUAAAAGCCUCAUAUCCAAAUUAUCACAUGCCUAACCCUACAUAAACCACUAGUGAGCCGGUUUGAGCCCCAAAAGCCUAUUUUCUUUGUUGAAAAUUUUGAAGUCACUAUAUUAGCCUACUUAUUAUAUCCGUUUGUUGGCCUAUAUUUUCUACCCUAGUCACUAAAAUUAAAGUGCUAGCACAUUAUUGGGAGGGUAUUUAUGGUGGCAAGGAAAAGAUGGAAGUCAUGGAACAUUCAUUAGGUGGUAUUCAUUUAUAUUGAGAUACAAAUGAAAAAACUCUCUCUUCAAACAAAAGUAAAAUAAAAAGGCAGCCUUUAAUGUGUAAAAAAAAGCCAAGGCUUGAAAAAAUAAAAAAUAAAAAGGCAGCCUUUUUACGUGUAAAAAAAGCCAGGGCUAGAAAAAAAAUAAAAUAAAAAGGCAGCCUUUCAUGUGUAAAAUAAAAAGCCAAGGCAAGUAAAAAAAUAAAAUAAAAUGGCAGCCUUUCAUGAGUUAAAAAAGCCAAGGCCAGAAAAAAGAAUAUCGAGCGAAAAACAGAAAUAUGCUCAAAAGAAUAAGAUCACUUGGUUUAGAAGGUAGAAAAAUCUCCAGUUUGGGGUGUUGAGCUGUCAGAAUUUUGUAUUUUAGUGAGAUGGGAAGGAUGUUGUGAGGGAUGUGCUAGUAUUUUAAGAAUGGUGAUAAGCUACUUAUCCAAAUAUGAUCACACCUUUACCAAAAGCCCCGUUACAUCCAAAUGAAAAGACCUUUUGAUUUAGGCAUCAUAUUGACUUGUGAGCGAUGAAUUUUGCUUGAUUUUGGGAGAAAGAUCUUAUGUGCUUAAAAUAAAGAAUAGCUGGAAGAACUUCUCUUUAUGAAUUAGCGACGAUGGUUUGAGACUCCCAAGACAUAAAUCGAACUAACAUUGAAGCAUUGGAUGCCUAGCUCUUAGGGAAUUAGUUCGUGUACAAUUCAUGUUCUAAAAGUUUUACUCGCGAGUGAAUUCGGGCUCAACCUAAUUUCUCUAAAUGAUUCGUGUGAUUUGACGUGACUUGAAGUAGAGGAUUAUCUAAUUUCUUGUGAAUGUGCUUAUUUAUCUAACUUGCUUGAGGGCGAGCAAGACUUAUGUUUGGGAAGUAUUUGAUGUGUGUGGGUAAUUGUUUGGGAAGUAUUUGAUGUGUGUGGGUAAUUGUUUAACUUGUUAUUACAUAAUGGAUGGAAUGGCGGGCAGUGUACUACUGCUCCGGUUCAAUUUUGACCACCUCACUAUUUAUUCCAGCGAGUUGAAGGGUAUAAAGUUGCAACCAAUAUUUGCUUCAAUAUUCAAACAUUUAUUUACUUUAGUUCGAUAUUUAGUGUGUCAUUUCAUACUAAAGCCAUCAAUGAAAAACUACUGCCAAAUCUUUAUGAUGCUCUACACUUGUUGGUACCUGAUAAAAUUGGGGUUGGACUUGCUUUGUCUAAUUCUGAAGAACACAAUAUCACCACGAUACCAGGAUGUGUGGUUAGUUAUUCUCUUCUUUGUACAUACAUUUAGACAUAAUUUUUUGUUUGUUGUAGGAAGUGGAAUACAUACAACAGUUUAUUAUUUUUAUCUCCUUGGAAUUCUUCAACUUGUUGCACUAAACCUUAACCCUUUUCUUGGCUGUAUUUAGGAAAGACUUUCUGUUUGAGUCAGAUUGCAGAGCUGCUGUGUACCAAUCCUGUUGCGUUUGAGGCUACUGAGAUAAUUCAGCAUAUUCUUGUGCUACUCUUAGUCGAUUUGAAGGCCUCUCGUUCUUGCAAAUGUUAUCUCUCGUGGAACUAAAGUGUUUUCCGUGAUAGUUCCUACUGCAUAAAUAGACUAGAAAGUACUUAGUCGAUCCGAAGGUCGAGGGUGGUAGGGGGCGACUGAGUUCUUAACUUAAAAGAUGAGGGGGAAAGGGUGGAAAACUGAAGGGGUGGAAAACUGAAGGCACAAGUCUAUUUAUUGAUUUUUGAGCUUGCUUUGUGAUCUUUUGUUUCUUGGUUGUUGCGCCUAUAUUUUUCCUACUUAUUUAAUUCAUUCUUUGCUGCAUUUUGCCGUUUUAUAAUUGAUCUGUUACACAUAUUAUAUUUUUGUUUGUUAUAAUUGAUCUGUUACAUACAUUUUAUUUUUGUUUGUUAUACUGUGCCUGACUUUUUUCUACUUUUUCUAAUCCACUUUUUGCUACCUUGCACCAUAAUUAAUUAAUACAUACAUAGCAUCCUAUUUUUCUUUGUCUCAUAUGCCCUGUACAAAUAUGUGCUAUAAAAGUGUUUCUUUGAUAUGUAAACCCCAUUGAUUGUCAAAUCUUGGAUUCUUAAUAUAUAUGUUAAAUGUUUUUAUAGCCUCUUUCCUAGUUACUUACUACACACAUUUCCUUUUAACUUUGGCAUUCGGUUUGCUGUAAUUGCAUCUAAAAAAGAAACCGUGGGCCAUGGAAGCUGGUUGGGCACUCAAUUAGUGUCAAGUAAAGAUACUUUCUAUGAGGAAUGGAAACUGCAGCUUGUUGCCACUAUGUGUACAAUACAUGGAAUCUAGACUACUUCGAUUUCUGUAUAUUUGGUCAAGUUCCUCAACAAUUUAAUUUAACUUAACAUCUCUUAUAUGCCAGUUCAGUAGUUUGUACAUAGUCUACUGUGUUUGAGUUUGUUUUCUUUACCUGUCCGUUUGAUGAUUCUGAUUGAUACAACAAAUUUUGGUUUACUGAGUGAACAUAAGAACAGAUUAAUAGUGUUGUAAUAUACUAUUCAACUUAACUAUGAAUUGUAAUGUUACCCCGUUCUAAAAUUUUCAGCUUGCCUGUAAUGUUUAUCCUUUGUGAAUGUUUCUGCUUCAGGAUCAGUCAAUAAGCGUCAACUUGUGACUCACCAUAUGAUGUGUAUUGCUCUACGAGCUGCUUUAGAUGCUUUAGGGAAGCUUGCAAAUUCAAGUGUUUGUUCCUUCCUAGGUUAUUGGUUAAUGUUAUUAUUGUGAAUUUCAGUCUAACCUUGGAUUUAUGACAUUCCAAUGUUUUCCUUCGGGAGAAAGGCAUUAGAGCAGUUUCUGGACCAUCUCAUUCAGUAUCACUGCUCUUUUUUGACCACCUCACUAUUUAUUCCAGCGAGUUGAAGGGUAUAAAGCUGCAACCAAUACUUGCUUCAAUAUUCAAACAUUUAUUUGUUAAACCUAACUUUAGUUCGAUAUUAAGUGUGUCAUUUCAUACUAAAGCCAUCAAUGAAGAACUUCUGCAUAAUCAGUCUGAUGCUCUACACUUGUUUGUACCUGAUAAAAUUGAAGUUGGUCUAGCUUUGUCUAAUUCUGAAGAACACGAUACCAGGAUCUGUGG